rnacentral:rRNA from 1 species
ACGCCGCGUGAGUGAUGAAGGCUUCGGGUCGUAAAGCUCUGUCAAGUGGGAAGAACCUACAUAUGGUCAAUACCCAUGUGUACUGACGGUACCACUGAAGGAAGCACCGGCUAACUCCGUGCCAGCAGCCGCGGUAAUACGGAGGGUGCAAGCGUUAUUCGGAAUUAUUGGGCGUAAAGAGCGCGUAGGCGGCCAGUUAAGUCAGAUGUGAAAUCCCGGGGCCCAACCCCGGAAGUGCAUUUGAAACUAAUUGGCUUGAGUAUGGGAGAGGGAAGUGGAAUUCCUGGUGUAGAGGUGAAAUUCGUAGAUAUCAGGAGGAACACCGGUGGCGAAGCGACUUCCUGGACCAAUACUGACGCUGAGGCGCGAAGCGUGGGGACAAACAGGAUUAGAUCCCUGGUAGUCCACGCAGUAAACGGUGAUCCUANGUGUACGGGUAUUGACCCUGCUGUGCCG